rnacentral:rRNA from 1 species
AGUUUGAUCCUGGCUCAGGAUGAACGCUGGCGGCGUGCCUAACACAUGCAAGUCGAACGGAGUUCUUAAGGAAUGCGACUUCGGUCAAAUGACUUUUGAACUUAGUGGCGGACGGGUGAGUAACGCGUGAGCAACCUGCCUUUCAGAGGGGGAUAACAUUUGGAAACAGAUGCUAAUACCGCAUAAGAUUACAGUACCGCAUGAUACAGUGAUCAAAGGAGCAAUCCGCUGAAAGAUGGGCUCGCGUCCGAUUAGAUAGUUGGUGAGGUAACGGCUCACCAAGUCGACGAUCGGUAGCCGGACUGAGAGGUUGAACGGCCACAUUGGGACUGAGACACGGCCCAGACUCCUACGGGAGGCAGCAGUGGGGAAUAUUGCACAAUGGGCGAAAGCCUGAUGCAGCAACGCCGCGUGAGGGAAGACGGUUUUCGGAUUGUAAACCUCUGUUUUCGGUGACGAACAAAUGACGGUAACCGAGUAGGAAGCCACGGCUAACUACGUGCCAGCAGCCGCGGUAAUACGUAGGUGGCAAGCGUUAUCCGGAAUUACUGGGUGUAAAGGGAGCGCAGGCGGGAUAGCAAGUCAGCUGUGAAAACUAUGGGCUCAACCCAUAAACUGCAGUUGAAACUGUUAUUCUUGAGUGGAGUAGAGGCAAGCGGAAUUCCGAGUGUAGCGGUGAAAUGCGUAGAUAUUCGGAGGAACACCAGUGGCGAAGGCGGCUUGCUGGGCUCUAACUGACGCUGAGGCUCGAAAGUGUGGGGAGCAAACAGGAUUAGAUACCCUGGUAGUCCACACUGUAAACGAUGAUUGCUAGGUGUGGGGGGUCUGACCCCCUCCGUGCCGGAGUUAACGCAAUAAGCAAUCCACCUGGGGAGUACGGCCGCAAGGUUGAAACUCAAAUGAAUUGACG